AGCUCUCUUUAACUCCUCCUAGUUCAAGAUGAGAACCGUCAACAACAGCUUCGACACCAUCAACGCCGCUGCCACUGCCAUCGUCUCCGCCGAGUCUCGUGUCCAGCCAACUGCCGUUGAGGUAGACGCACACGCACGCCCUCUUAGAUUUCUAUAUCGGUCUUGUUUUAUUCCCUUCCAAAUAUCGUAGCUGCUGUGUGUGUUUUAAUUGUUACUUCAGAUUAUAAUUUAAUGUUUUGUUUGGUACGUGAGAAAAUGCGGGAAAAGAUAAAGAGAACUGAAUCUGACUUUGGUUUGAUCGAAAAUUUUGUUUAAGUGAUUCUUUUAGUUAAUUUAUGUACGUUUCGCUUGGCUUUAUCUUCUCCUUAUUCUUCUUUUUAAUAUUUUUGGAUCCUGAGUUUGGUUUUUAGUAUUUUAUUGCCGUAGCUCAUAAACAACGUUUAGGUAAUCUUUCUCGGGUCUUGAAUUCUGAAAUUCUAGAACCGAAAGCUUCUUUCUUUUGCUACAUGUCCUUGACUUUCUUAGCUUGUUUCAUUGAUUUUGCCAUUUUGCUAUUAUUUAUUGCUCGCUUUUAUGCUAGUUUUGUUUCUGAAAGCAGGGGAAACCGAAACGGAGGUAUUUUAUGCUCUUAGAAUUUAGAAUCCCCUCAAUAAUAUUCUUAUUUCAAAACUUUUAGCACUUCUGACGUGGUUUAUUUUGCAAGAUCGAUAAUUUCUUUUCAUACUUAUCGGAGAGUGAAACAUGAUUACCUUCCUAACAAUUCACAGCAGGAACAGCUAUAGGGAAAAAUGACUUUAGAUGGCCUAUAAAUGUUAUCUAGGAGCUUUCGAAAAAUUUCAGUGUCUUUCUUACAAAGCAGUUCUGAUGACAAAUUGCAUCAUAACUUUUCCUCAUUGAACUAGAUGACUAUUCUGUUUUGAUGGACUAGGCUGGGCAGCAAUAUGUAUCUCUCUGUUUGUGCACUAGUAUGUAUAUGUGCGCUAGUGGCUUGGGUGUGGUGAUAGGGAGCAUUAACAAGUUCAGUUCUUGGUGUUUGACGGUGGGUGAAAAGGAUAAAUAUGGGAAAUGUGCUUCUGAAUUUAGUCACUCUAUUGAAUUAUCAAUGCAACAGAUGUCCUAUUGUCAGAUGAGAUUAGUUUGCAAUAAGAGAAAAAAAUGUGUUUUCUUUCCCUUGGAACUAAUUGCUCACAAGCUUCUUAUUUUCUUAUUUGAACACAGAAAAGAAGAUGGGGAGGGUGCUGGAGUCUGUACUGGUGUUUUGGUUCUCAUAAAAAUAGCAAGCGAAUUGGUAAUGCUGUUCUUGUUCCUGAACCAGGGGCACCGGGAGCUGUAGUUACUUCAGCUGGAAAUCAAACACACUCGACUGCCGUUGCAGUUCCUUUUAUUGCUCCUCCCUCUUCUCCUGCUUCAUUCCUCCAAUCUGAUCCCCCUUCUGCCACCCAAUCACCUGCAGGAUUGCUCUCUCUUACUUCCCUUUCAGUGAAUGCCUACUCCCCAGGUGGACCUGCAUCCAUUUUUGCCACAGGUCCUUAUGCUCAUGAAACCCAGCUAGUUACUCCACCUGCAUUUUCUGCCUUCACCACUGAACCAUCCACUGCUCCUUUUACACCGCCUCCUGAAUCUGUUCAGCUGACGACACCUUCUUCGCCGGAGGUGCCAUUCGCUCAACUCCUGACGUCUUCUUUGGAGCGUGCUCGAAGAAAUAGCGGGACCAAUCAAAAGUUUGCAUUGUCCCAUUAUGAAUUCCAGUCUUAUCCGCUGUACCCAGGAAGUCCUGGUGGUCAGCUCAUCUCACCAGGCUCAGUUAUCUCAAAUUCAGGCACUUGUUCUCCUUUCCCUGAUAAGCACCCCAUUCUUGAGUUCCGUAUGGGGGAAGCUCCCAAGGUCUUGGGCAUUGAGCAUUUUAAUACUCGUCAACGGGGCUCAAGAUUGGGUUCUGGAUCUUUGACGCCAGAUGGAGUGGGGCUAGGUUCAAGGCUUGGUUCUGGUUCUGUGACUCCAGAUGAUGGUGUGGGGUUAGGUUCAAGGCUUGGUUCUGGAUCCCUGACUCCGGAUGGUGUGGGGCAUUCAAGGCUUGGUUCAGGAUCUUUGACACCUGAUUGUGUGGGGCCUGCCUCUCGAGAUGGUGUCCUGGAAAAUCAGAUUUCUGAGUUUGCAUCUCUUGCAAACUAUGAAAAUGGAUCUAAAAAUGAUGAAACUAUAGUUGAUCACAGAGUCUCAUUUGAGUUGAGUGGUGAAGAGGUUGCACGUUGUCUUGAAAGCAAGUCAAUGCAAUCAUGUAGAAUGUUCCCAGAAUGCUCACUGGACAGUAUGUCAGAGGACUGCAUAAAAAGUGGGAAGAUGCUAAUGAAUAGUGAAAAUUGUUUACAUAUCAGGGAAACUUCCAAUGAAAUACCUGACAAAUCUUCAGGAGAAAUGGAAGAGGAGCACUACUAUAGAAAGCAUCGUUCUAUCACUCUUGGGUCAUUAAAAGAAUUCAACUUUGAUAAUUUGAAAGAAGUGCCUGAUAAACCCACAAUGAGCUCUGAGUGGUGGGCUAAUGAAACAAUUGCUGGGAAGGAAGCUAGGCCUGUCAACAACUGGACUUUCUUCCCAUUGUUACAGUCAGAAGUCAGCUGACAUUGAAACUUUGCAUAAUGGCUUCCCCUCUAUACUUGUAUGAUCAACAGGUUUGCUUUACUGAAUGCCUAACUUGUCAGAUGUAAGUCUGAAGCGCAACGGUGUUUUGGAUACAGUUCACCAGCCCUGGGGUCACAUGAGGAUAUAAAAAGGAAUUAAGCCGUGGUGAUCCAAACAACAAGUGCUCAGAAAAUAGUUUGUAGGGAUCAUUAGUGUGAGAACUAAUAGAGCAUUCUUUUUAAUUUUUUUGUUUCUAGUUGAACGAUAUACAAAAAUAGCAUUUGCAUAUAGUGUUGUGUUCUGGAUUGUUUUUUCUUGUCUUGUGUAAUA
rnacentral:misc_RNA from 1 species